rnacentral:rRNA from 1 species
CCUACGGGUGGCUGCAGUGGGGAAUAUUGGACAAUGGGCGAAAGCCUGAUCCAGCCAUGCCGCGUGUGUGAAGAAGGCCUUCGGGUUGUAAAGCACUUUCAGUGGGGAAGAAAGCCUUGGGGCUAAUACCCUCGAGGAAGGACAUCACCCACAGAAGAAGCACCGGCUAACUCCGUGCCAGCAGCCGCGGUAAUACGGAGGGUGCGAGCGUUAAUUGGAAUUACUGGGCGUAAAGCGCGCGUAGGCGGUCUGAUAAGCCGGUUGUGAAAGCCCCGGGCUCAACCUGGGAACGGCAUCCGGAACUGUCAGGCUAGAGUGCAGGAGAGGAAGGUAGAAUUCCCGGUGUAGCGGUGAAAUGCGUAGAGAUCGGGAGGAAUACCAGUGGCGAAGGCGGCCUUCUGGACUGACACUGACGCUGAGGUGCGAAAGCGUGGGUAGCAAACAGGAUUAGAUACCCGAGUAGUC